CAGCAGCCGCGGUAAUACGUAGGGUGCGAGCGUUGUCCGGAAUUACUGGGCGUAAAGAGUUCGUAGGCGGUUUGUCGCGUCGUUCGUGAAAACUUGGGGCUUAACUCCAAGCGUGCGGGCGAUACGGGCAGACUUGAGUACUACAGGGGAGACUGGAAUUCCUGGUGUAGCGGUGAAAUGCGCAGAUAUCAGGAGGAACACCGGUGGCGAAGGCGGGUCUCUGGGUAGUAACUGACGCUGAGGAACGAAAGCGUGGGUAGCGAACAGGAUUAGAUACCCCGGUAGUCCCUGUCUCUUAUAC
rnacentral:rRNA from 1 species